AACGCUUUGUGGUUCAACUGAUUUGAAGAGCUUGCUCAGAUAUGACGAUGGACAUUGCAAAGAGUGGCGAACGGGUGAGUAACACGUGGGAAACCUACCUCUUAGCAGGGGAUAACAUUUGGAAACAGAUGCUAAUACCGUAUAACAAUGACAACCGCAUGGUUGUUAUUUAAAAGAUGGUUCUGCUAUCACUAAGAGAUGGUCCCGCGGUGCAUUAGCUAGUUGGUAAGGUAAUGGCUUACCAAGGCGAUGAUGCAUAGCCGAGUUGAGAGACUGAUCGGCCACAAUGGGACUGAGACACGGCCCAUACUCCUACGGGAGGCAGCAGUAGGGAAUCUUCCACAAUGGGCGAAAGCCUGAUGGAGCAACGCCGCGUGUGUGAUGAAGGGUUUCGGCUCGUAAAACACUGUUGUAAGAGAAGAAUGACAUUGAGAGUAACUGUUCAAUGUGUGACGGUAUCUUACCAGAAAGGAACGGCUAAAUACGUGCCAGCAGCCGCGGUAAUACGUAUGUCCCGAGCGUUAUCCGGAUUUAUUGGGCGUAAAGCGAGCGCAGACGGUUGAUUAAGUCUGAUGUGAAAGCCCGGAGCUCAACUCCGGAAUGGCAUGGGAAACUGGUUAACUUGAGUGUUGUAGAGGUAAGUGGAACUCCAUGUGUAGCGGUGGAAUGCGUAGAUAUAUGGAAGAACACCAGUGGCGAAAGCGGCUUUCUGGACUGUAACUGACGUUGAGGCUCGAAAGUGUGGGU
rnacentral:rRNA from 1 species